rnacentral:tRNA from 1 species
GGGGGUAUAGCUCAGUGGUAGAGCAUUUGACUGCAGAUUAGAGAAAAUACAGACACUGGAGCAGUGCCAGAUCAUUACUCUACCACCAAUUCCCCCA